UACGGGGGGAGCAAGCGUUGUUCGGAUUUACUGGGCGUAAAGGGUGUGUAGGUGGCGCGCUAAGUCGGGUGUGAAAUUUCGGAGCUUAACUCCGAAACUGCAUUCGAUACUGGCGUGCUUGAGGACUGGAGAGGAGACUGGAAUUCAUGGUGUAGCAGUGAAAUGCGUAGAGAUCAUGAGGAAGACCAGUGGCGAAGGCGGGUCUCUGGACAGUUCCUGACACUGAGACACGAAGGCCAGGGAGCAAACGGG
rnacentral:rRNA from 1 species